rnacentral:rRNA from 1 species
AAAGCGGCGGACGGGUGAGUAACGCGUAGGCAACCUGCCCUUUGCAGAGGGAUAGCCUCGGGAAACCGGGAUUAAAACCUCAUAAUACCGCAGUGAGACAUCUCACGGCGGUCAAAGAUUUAUCGGCAAAGGAUGGGCCUGCGUCUGAUUAGUUAGUUGGUGAGGUAACGGCCCACCAAGGCGACGAUCGGUAGCCGGACUGAGAGGUUGAACGGCCACAUUGGGACUGAGACACGGCCCAG